UUAGUAGGAACUGAAAUUGCAUUGAUGUUCAAUCACACUACUGACAUAAUAAAUCACAUCCUAAGACAAUAAUGAACUUUAGUUAUAUAAUUGUAAAGAUCACAACCUUUCUAGACAUUCGAGAGGCUAGAAACUCUCCCAGAAUUCCCUUUUCUUAAUUUUCUGAAUGCCUUUGUUUUAACUGCCCUGCCCCUAUUUCUACAGAAAAAACCACCCAAUACAUGUGUAACUGUCUCAUGACAGUUACUAAGUUUCUUAAUUGCUUAUUUUGGCCUCCUGGAAUAAGUUUUUAUAACUUGAGGCACAUCAUUACCCUUCCCUAUAAGAAUCACCUUGUCCUCAAGGUGAAAGUCCGGAAAUUGUUGAUAGACGACUGCAUAUUCCUCCCAAGUACUCUCAAAUUCUGGUAGAGUCUUCCACUUGAUUAGCACUUCCAAUUUACCAUUGAUUAGCUUCCUGGUCUGUCUCACUGCCUCAGGCUCAACUUGAAGCUCCAAUUCUUGGGUAAGAAAUGGAGGUAGGUUUUGAGCAGAAGUAGUUGGAAACAAGCAUUUUCUCAACUGUGAAACAUGAAACACUGAAUGAAUGCGUGCUCCAACUGGUAACUCCAACCGAUAAGCUACGGGACCAAUCUUUUCCAGAAUCUUGUAAGGACCAUAAAAGCGGGGACUGAGUUUUUCAUUGAUCUUCUUAGCCAAAGAACGUAGUUUGUAGGGUCGAAGUUUGAGAUAUACCAGUUCACCAAUCUCAAAAGUCAGUUCUCUACGAUGUCGAUCAGCUUGAUUCUUCAUUCUUUGUUGUGCUUGUAACAAAUGUUCUUUGAGUUCGGUUAAGAUCAGAUUUCUAGUGCGCACCUGCUCAUUUACUUCUUCCACCGCUGAAGUAGUGUCAUCCAUGUGAAAAAUUGAUGAUGGAUCCCUUCCGUAUAAUGCUUUAAAGGGUGUCAUACCUGCAGAUCUGUUAAAGGAUGUAUUAAACCAAUACUCAGCCCAAGAUAACCAGUGGGACCAUUCCUUAGGAUUUUCUCCUGCCAUACAACGGAGAUAUGUCUCCAAACUUCUAUUCACCACUUCUGUUUGUCCAUCAGUUUCUGGAUGAUAGGAAGAGCUAUACCAUAAGGUAGUGCCUGCUAGCUUGAAUAGUUCCUUCCAAAAUUGGCUUAUGAACACACGGUCACGAUCAGACACAAUAGACUUAGGAAAUCCAUGCAAUUUAACCACUUCCUUAAUGAAAACAGCUGCCACAUCUUUCGCAUUAAAAGGGUGUGAAAGUGGAAUAAAAUGUGCAUACUUAGUAAGACGAUCCACUACAACCAAAAUAGUAUCAAACCUAUGGGAUUUAGGAAGUCCAGUAAUGAAGUCCAUACUUACAUCCUCCCACACAUGAUGAGGUAUAGGCAAAGGUUGGAGUAACCCCGCAGGACUCAAAGUUUGAGACUUGUUCUUUUGACAGAUUUCACACCUAGCAACAAAGUCUUGCACAUCCCUCUUCAUACCUUCCCAGUAUAUAUUCUCGGACAGCCUUUUAUAUGUGCGAAGAUACCCCGAAUGACCUCCAAUUGGAGAAGAAUGAAACUCUUUCAAUAGCCCAGGUAUUCGAGAUGAUCCUUUUGGCAAAACCAAGCGUCCUUUAUAUAGUAGACAUCCAUUCUUCAAGCUGUAGUUGUCAUCUGAUUGUUGUCCUGAAAUUGACUUUUGCAAAAUAGAAGUCAUUUUGGUGUCUCGUUGUACUUCCUGGUCCCAUUCCUCCUUGUCUUUAUAUUGCCAAAUUGAAAACCCGUAUAACUCUGAAGAUUCCCCGCGUCUUGACAAAGCAUCAGCCACUCUAUUUUCAACACCCGGUUUGUACUUGAUCUCAAACUUAUAACCCAUGAGCUUGGAAACCCAUUUCUGUUGAUUCUCAUCCAUAACCCUCUGUCCUAGCAAAAAUUUAAGGGCUUUUUGGUCAGUUUUAAUGAUGAAAUGAUGGCCUAGCAAAUAAUGAUUCCAUCUCUUGACAGCCAACACGAUAGCCAUUAGCUCUCGUUCAUAUACCGAACAUUGUCUCGCUCUGGAAGAAAGCAUUCGACUGAAAUAAGAAAUAGGUUUACCAUUUUGCAUCAAAACUGCACCAACACCAAAUCCCGAAGCAUCAGCUUCAAUUACAAAGGGUUGAGAAAAGUUUGGCAUCGCUAAAACAGGCACUUGAGUCAUAGCCAACUUCAAUGCCUCAAAAGCUUGUUGAGCGUGUUCUCCCCAUGAAAAGGCAUCUUUUUUUAGUAAAUCAGUUAAAGGGGCAGCAAUCUUACCAUAAUCUUUGACAAAUUUUCUGUAAUAUCCCGUGAGUCCCAAAAAUCCCCGCAAAGACUUUAUAUCUCUAGGACUUGGCCAAGAUAUCAUACUGUCAAUCUUGGAGGGGUCAGCCUGCACUCCUUCAGAUGAGAUGAUAUGACCUAAAUAUUCAAGUUUAAGCUGACCAAACGUGCAUUUCUUCUUGUUGAUUACCAAUUGAUUCUGUUUGAGAAUAUCCAAAACAGCCUUCAAAUGCCCCAGAUGUGAAGCAUAAUCCUUACUGUAAAUCAAAAUAUCAUCAAAGAAUACUAAAAUAAAUUUCCGCAAAUGAUCCCUAAAAAUAUCAUUCAUCAGUGAUUGAAAAGUUGAGGGUGCAUUGGUCAAACCAAAUGGCAUGACCAUAAACUCAUAAUGUCCCUCAUGAGUGCGGAAGGCUGUUUUUGCUUCAUCUCCAGCUUGAAUGCGAAUUUGAUGAUAACCUGACUUAAGAUCCAACUUGGAAAAUAUGGUGGCUCCUCCUAGCUCAUCAAGUAACUCAUCAAUGCAUGGUAUUGGAAAUUUGUCGGGGAUCGUGAUAUCAUUAAGAGCCCGAUAAUCCACGCAAAAUCGCCAACUUCCAUCCUUCUUCUUAACCAGUAAUACUGGACUAGAAUAUGGACUAGUACUAGUUUUAAUGAUUCCAGCGGCCAGCAUCUCUUUGACCAAACGCUCGAUCUCUGCUUUUUGAGAAUGAGGAUAUCGAUAUGGACGAAUGUUUGGUGGUUGUGCUCCAGAUUGAAGAGUAAUAGCAUGAUCCCAAGAACGACGUGGUGGUAGGCCUAAGGCCUGCUCACUUACUUCUGGAUAAUCAUAUAAUAACUUUUCAAUCUCCUUUGAUGUUAUAGCUGCUUCAUCUUCAGUUAUUGUUACCUGAUUCAACUCGACCAGAAAUCCUUGUGCAUCUUUGAAUUUCAUGGUAAGAAGUUUCCAAUUCACCCUCAUCUCUCCUAAUGUGGCCAACCAUUCCAUCCCUAAUACCACAUCAGUUCCCCUCAAUUCAAAUAGAAAAUAUUGUUGGUUGAUUUGGACUCCUUGCACGUCUAUCCUUACCUCUUUGCAUACUUCACUCCCACUUACCUGCUGACCAUUACCAAUUGUUACUUCAAAUCCUUUGGUCUUCUUAAUAGGUAAUUGCAGAUGAUGAGCGAGGGUGGAUGAUAUAAAAUUAUGGGUAGCUCCACUAUCGACCAAAAUUAUCACGUCUUGCCCAUGAAUCUGCCCCACAAGUUUCAUUGUUCUACCUCCUGUAAGGCCCACAACUGAAUUCAUAUUCAACACCAUCAUAGUACCUUUCAUUUCUCCUUCAGCUACAUCUUCUCCGGUAGACUCAAAGAAUUCCUCUAUUUCAUCUUCAUCUUUGUUGGGUGCCUCUGAAAUAAUCAAUAGGUUAAGCUGCCUAUUUUUACAACGAUGAUUAGGGCCAAAUUUUUCAUCACAUCUGAAACAUAACCCUAGCUCUCUUUUUCGGGCAAAUUCUGAAUCAGACAACCUUUUGAAUUGUCCUUCAGACUUUGCUGCUGCAGUCCCGUUGAAGCUAGUCGACUUUGUGGCAGUAUGCACUGGUGAAUCAGUGUUACGACUUGCUACUCCGGCUCUUGAGUCACGAGAUUCAAGAAUGUUUGCAACUCGAUGAUAAUUGGGUCUAAACCCAACUGGUAUUGCUUGCACUUCCUCUGCCAGAUUCAAAUUUAAAACCUUGUACUUGCUGCAAAACAGAAUUUCGAUCCUCCACCUUUUGAGCCAUCUCCAUUAUCUCCCUCAAUGUUUGAGCCUGUAACAACAUUACUUCUGCCCGAAUUUCCUCUUUCAGCCCAUUUAAAAACACUCCAGAUAACAUUCCAUCAGAUGCCUCCUUCAUAGAUGCCGACACCUUUUCAAAUUCUUCACGAAACACGGUAACUGUGCUAACCUGCUUCAACCCCAUUAAGACAGCAUAUUGGUUGAUUUUUUGAGAAUGAUGAAAUCGGUUCAACAACUCUCUUUUGAAGUCUUCCCAGGUUAACAUUUGUUGCCGAGAUUCCAUCCAAUAAUACCAAUUUAAGGCUUUUCCUUCCAAACAAACACCUGCUGCCUGUAAUCUUUCCGCUUCAGAAAUUUCAUUCACGGCAAAAUAUCGCUCCACUCUGAAAAUCCAUCCCAAAGGAUCCUCUCCUUCAAAAACUGGUAGUUGUAGUUUCCGAAACUUCUUCCCAUCUUUUUCUCCAGCCCAGUUGACAUUGCUUCCCUCUUCUUGGUUUCCGAUAGAUCUGGUUUGAGAAGGGGAUGCUUCUGCCAUCAUAGUUCUCCCUUGUGCUUCAAUUCUUGCAAGAUUCUCUGUCAUUUCUUGAAACCAUCCUUCCAGUUUUCUAACAUCUUCUCUUACCCCUGUCAAAUUUGUCUCCACUUGUUCGACUCGUCCUUCCAUUCUACUCACCAUCCCUGAACGUUACUGCUCUGAUACCAAUUUGAUAGACUUUACUGCUGAAAUAGAAAAUAAGGGAACAAAUACUGCUGUUUCACACUAGAUUCACUGAUAUUACAACAACUGAUAUUACAACAAGAAGUCUGAAAACAAAACAAUCACACUACUGACAUAAUAAAUUACAUCCUAAGACAAUAAUGAACUUUAGUUAUAUAAUUGUAAAGAUCAACAACCUUUUCUAGACAUUCGAGAGGCUAGAAACUCUCCCAGAAUUCCCUUUUCUUAAUUUUCUGAAUGCCUUUGUUUUAACUGCCCUGCCCCUAUUUCUACAGAAAAAACCACCCAAUACAUGUGUAACUGUCUCAUGACAGUUACUAAGUUUCUUAAAUUGCUUAUUUUGGCCUCCUGGAAUAAGUUUUUAUAACUUGAGGCACAUCAUGUUCCAUAUUGGUUUAAAAUGAGUGUAGGUUAGGAAAAUAGGUUGCUUUUAUGUGCAUAUUUCAAACCUAAUACUUGUUUCUUGUUGCCCAUGCAUAGUUAGGAAAUGAGGUUCCUGUCUUCUUUUUAAAGAUGAUUAAAUAAGCUGAUUGUUGAAGUGAACAUAUCUUUGGGCUUCUGGGAUGAAAAGAAGUUUAUAUUUGUUGAAGGAGACGUGGC
rnacentral:lncRNA from 1 species